CUGUGAAGGAAAGGUGAAAAGAACCCCGGGAGGGGAGUGAAAUAGAUUCUGAAACCGCAUGCAUACAAACAGUAGGAGCCCUUCGGGGUGACUGCGUACCUUUUGCAUAAUGGGUCAGCGACUUAUGUUAUGUGGCAAGCCUAACCGACUAGGGGAGGCGCAGCGAAAGCGAGUCCGAACAGGGCGAUUCAGUCGCAUGGCAUAGACCCGAAACCAGAUGAGCUAACCAUGGCCAGGCUGAAGGUGUGGUAACACACACUGGAGGGCCGAACCUACUGGUGUUGCAAAACCAGAGGAUGAGCUGUGGUUAGGGGUGAAAGGCUUAACAAAUCUGGAGAUAGCUGGUUCUCCCCGAAAACUAUUGAGGUAGUGCCUUGUAUAUGAGCUUCUGGGGGUAGAGCACUGUUAUAGCUAGGGGGACAUGGCGUCUUACCAAACUAUGGCAAACUCCGAAUACCAGAAAGCUUCGUACAGGAGACAGAGCACCGGGUGCUAACGUCCGGACUCAAAAGGGAAACAACCCAGACCGCCAGCUAAGGUCCCUAAUAUCAGCUAAGUGGAAAACGAAGUGGAAAGGCUAAAACAGUCAGGAAGUUGGCUUAGAAGCAGCCAUCCUUCAAAGAAAGCGUAAUAGCUCACUGAUCGAGUCCUUCCGCGCGGAAGAUGUAACGGGGCUAAGUUGAUAACCGAAGCUGCGGAUUCAUACUUUUAGUGUGAGUGGUAGGGGAGCGUUCUGUAAGCCUGCGAAGGUGGAUCGUAAGGUCUGCUGGAGGUAUCAGAAGUGCGAAUGCUGACAUGAGUAACGAUAAAGCGGGUGAAAAGCCCGCUCGCCGCAAACCCAAGGUUUCCUGCUCUACGUUAAUCGGAGCAGGGUGAGUCGGUUCCUAAGGCCAGGCUGAGAAGCGUAGCUGAUGGAAAUCAGGUUAAUAUUCCUGAACCGGCGUUGAAUGCGAUGGGGUGACGGAGCAGCCAGAGUGGACCGGGUGUUGGAUGUCCCGGCUUCCGAGCGAUGGGUGCCUGCAGGCAAAUCCGCAGGCGUAUACCCAGGACGAAGGAUCGGGUCUUCUUUUGAAGACGAAGCCACUGGAAGCGCUUCCAGGAAAAACCUCUAAGCUUCAGUUCAACGGCGACCGUACCGUAAACCGACACAGGUGGGUGAGCUGAAUAUGCUCAGGCGCUUGAGAGAACUCGGGAGAAGGAACUCGGCAAAUUGACACCGUAACUUCGGAAGAAGGUGUGCCUUUGUAGCGUGAUGGAAGAGACAUCCGGAGCAUGAAGAGGCCUCAGAGAAUAGGUGGCUGCAACUGUUUACUAAAAACACAGCACUCUGCAAAGAUGAAAGUCGACGUAUAGGGUGUGAUGCCUGCCCGGUGCUGGAAGAUUAAUUGAUGGGGUGCAAGCUCCUGAUCGAAGUCCCAGUAAACGGCGGCCGUAACUAUAACGGUCCUAAGGUAGCGAAAUUCCUUGUC
rnacentral:rRNA from 1 species